rnacentral:misc_RNA from 1 species
GUUAGACGCUACAUGUUACACAGCUAAUGAACCCACUUGAGAUAGUCAUCAGGUGUUAUUAGAAUGAAAAGGUUGCAUUCAACCUACAAUACUCUAAGAACAGUAACGCCUGCACACACUUUUGCUAGAUAUAUCUUUGAAAUUAUCAUGUUCAGAUACCCGGGUUAGAAUAGAUGAGGGUCACCAUUGUAAAGAUUUAGCAGAAACAACUCAUUGACACUGCAGAACUUAUCAAGCAAGAAGUUCCAUAAAAGCACUUUCAUGUAGAGUUUAAUUCUCAGGUUCAGAAACCAAAGUCCCAAUUUUAUAUCUCGAUAUUCUUUUCCUUUGUAGCUUAAUAUUACUAUUUAUUGAACAACUACGCAACUAAUAUGUGUCCCAACCAUUUUGACAGAACUGAUGAAAAGAUAAUUGAAUUUCAAAG